rnacentral:rRNA from 1 species
AUUGAACGCUGGCGGCGUGCUUAACACAUGCAAGUCGAACGGAAAGGCCCUGCUUUUGUGGGGUGCUCGAGUGGCGAACGGGUGAGUAACACGUGAGUAACCUGCCCUUGACUUUGGGAUAACUUCAGGAAACUGGGGCUAAUACCGGAUAGGAGCUCCUGCUGCAUGGUGGGGGUUGGAAAGUUUCGGCGGUUGGGGAUGGACUCGCGGCUUAUCAGCUUGUUGGUGGGGUAGUGGCCUACCAAGGCUUUGACGGGUAGCCGGCCUGAGAGGGUGACCGGCCACAUUGGGACUGAGAUACGGCCCAGACUCCUACGGGAGGCAGCAGUGGGGAAUAUUGCACAAUGGGCGGAAGCCUGAUGCAGCAACGCCGCGUGCGGGAUGACGGCCUUCGGGUUGUAAACCGCUUUCGCCUGUGACGAAGCGUGAGUGACGGUAAUGGGUAAAGAAGCACCGGCUAACUACGUGCCAGCAGCCGCCGCGG